GAUAAAACCACAACUCUGCCUCAAACGCGACAUAAGUCCAUUCACUGGUAAAACUACACACUACUACGAGCACUCGAAUGCACUCGCGCACACAUACAAGCGAUACUACGAUAGUACUAUGAACUUCGAUCAAUAAUACUACUAGAUUCGCGAUUAGCGCUUCAAAAACGGCCCGAAAAAUAAGACCACAAAUAAAUUUGUGGUCUUAUUUCAAAUUAGUAUGGUCCAAUCAUAGCCAACACUAAGACGUCAAAACGCUGCAAUGCGCGUUCAAAAACUGAGUAAAAAACCACCGUAACACCAAGGUUUUGGAAGGAAUAUCUUUUUUUGAUUUCCUAGUAGCCCCUUGUUGCUGUGCACAAUGGAUAUAUAUUGUCGCGAAAGAAAGAGGAGAAGAAAUAUAGAACUCUUAUAAAAAUUCUAGAAUUGUUCAAUGGUGGUGGCAAAUCAAUGCAAAAAAGUAUUAAAAAAACUUUAUAUGUAUGUGUAAAUAUUUUAAGCGUAUAUGCUGAAAAGGAUUUGUUUUCUGGGGGAAACGAACACAGCCAUAAAAUAAGCCUAAAUUAAACUGAUUAUAGAAGAAUUCAUUGAUAUAAGAUUACAUUAUAUUUGUAAAAAAGAAACCGCUCAUAUAAAAAUGACUUCUAAAAGACAGCUUUAUAACAAACUGAAUCUGUUUAAAGGUAAUUAAACCUACAUUAUUGUUUUAAUUACUUCUGUAUAAAGAAUACGUGGAAAACAUGUUUCGUGUUUCCUUUCAUAUUUUUUUUACUUUAUUCAAUUUUAUUUUUUAUCACCUAUUUGUUGUAAUAGCGGCAAUGUAAAAUAUUAUCUACUACUUUUUUGAAUCGGUCAAAAAUAGUUGCGACCAUACAAAACAAACCUAAAACAAAUAUGUAUAUUCUGCAA